CUGGCGGCGUGCUUAACACAUGCAAGUUCAACGAUUGAAAGCGGUGCUUUGCACCGUGGAUUAGUUGGCGAACGGGUGAGUAAUACGUCGAGUCGACCUACCUUUUGACUCUGGGAUAAGCCUGGGAAACUGGGUCUAAUACCGGAAUACGACCAAUCUCUGCAUGGGGUGUUUGGUGGAAAGCGUUAUGGAGUGGUUUUAGAUGGGCUCACGGCCUAUCAGCUUGUUGGUGAGGUAAUGGCUUACCAAGGCGACGACGGGUAGCCGGCCUGAGAGGGUGACCGGCCACACUGGGACUGAGACACGGCCCAGACUCCUACGGGAGGCAGCAGUGGGGAAUAUUGCACAAUGGGCGCAAGCCUGAUGCAGCGACGCCGCGUGAGGGAUGACGGCCUUCGGGUUGUAAACCUCUGUUAGCAUCGAAGAAGCGAAAGUGACGGUAGGUGCAGAGAAAGCGCCGGCUAACUACGUGCCAGCAGCCGCGGUAAUACGUAGGGCGCGAGCGUUGUCCGGAAUUAUUGGGCGUAAAGAGCUUGUAGGGCGGUUGGUCGCGUCUGCUGUGAAAGGCCGGGGCUUAACUCCGGUUUUGCAGUGGGUACGGGCUAACUAGAGUGCAGUAGGGGAGACUGGAAUUCCUGGUGUAGCGGUGGAAUGCACAGAUAUCAGGAGGAACACCGAUGGCGAAGGCAGGUCUCUGGGCUGUAACUGACGCUGAGAAGCGAAAGCAUGGGGAGCGAACAGGAUUAGAUACCCUGGUAGUCCAUGCCGUAAACGUUGGGCACUAGGUGUGGGGGACAUUCCACGUUUUCCGCGCCGUAGCUAACGCAUUAAGUGCCCCGCCUGGGGAGUACGGCCGCAAGGCUAAAACUCAAAGGAAUUGACGGGGGCCCGCACAAGCGGCGGAGCAUGCGGAUUAAUUCGAUGCAACGCGAAGAACCUUACCAAGGCUUGACAUGCAUUAGAUCGCGUCAGAGAUGGCGUUUCCCUUCGGGGCUGGUGUACAGGUGGUGCAUGGUUGUCGUCAGCUCGUGUCGUGAGAUGUUGGGUUAAGUCCCGCAACGAGCGCAACCCUCGUUCUAUGUUGCCAGCGGUUCGGCCGGGGACUCAUAGGAGACUGCCGGGGUCAACUCGGAGGAAGGUGGGGAUGACGUCAAAUCAUCAUGCCCCUUAUGUCUUGGGCUUCACGCAUGCUACAAUGGCCGGUACAGAGGGUUGCGAUACUGUGAGGUGGAGCUAAUCCCUUAAAGCCGGUCUCAGUUCGGAUUGGGGUCUGCAACUCGACCCCAUGAAGUCGGAGUCGCUAGUAAUCGCAGAUCAGCAACGCUGCGGUGAAUACGUUCCCGGGCCUUGUACACACCGCCCGUC
rnacentral:rRNA from 1 species